CUUUCCUGUUUGUUUGUUUGUUCCUUUUUCCUUGCCAUGAUUGCAGAGAGGAAGGAAUCUGGUUCCUACCUCCCUGAACACCUCGGGCUUGGAGAGCAAUUACUCAGCACUGCAGGCUCUGGUGGAGAAUUAAAGAAAAUACAGUUGUGCCAGCUGGAGUUUGGGAGUUGGGAUUGACAUCCCUGCAGCCGCUUGGGAUGGUUCUCCAGGGAAGAUUCCACACAGAUUCCAACUCCUUGUAACCAAAUCCUGCUGCCCCAGACACCGUCACCUUCCUCAGGACCACAACUGAUGCCUUCACCGCUGAGUAAAGUAAUUUUAUCAUAAAUAUCCAUGGGAGGAUCCAUGUCAGGAGAGGAACAACAGAGCUGGGAAAGGGGCUGGAGCCCCAGGAAUAGGGGAAAUGUCCAAGCCCUUAUUGCUCCUCAGGAGGUCACUGGGAAUGAUGUUAUCACUCCAUGGGGUCCCAGCACUGGCUGCAGGUGAUAUUUGGUGGGGACAUUUGAGCUUGGAAGCACAAGAGCUGUUGGAAUUUCACCCUUUUUCAUGGAUAGAGCCGCACAGCUCUGACAGCCAUAUCCUGCUGCUCCCAGUUUGGCUCACAGAUCUUCUCCUACGUGCUGGAACAACCUGCAAGAGGCUCAAACCCUCCUUCCCUUCCACUUGUGGCCACUGGCAUGAUGACAGCCAGCAGAUAAUAAAGAGCACAG